rnacentral:rRNA from 1 species
UACGAAGGGGGCUAGCGUUGCUCGGAAUCACUGGGCGUAAAGGGUGCGUAGGCGGGUCUUUUAAGUCAGGGGUGAAAUCCUGGAGCUCAACUCCAGAACUGCCUUUGAUACUGAGGAUCUUGAGUUCGGGAGAGGUGAGUGGAACUGCGAGUGUAGAGGUGAAAUUCGUAGAUAUUCGCAAGAACACCAGUGGCGAAGGCGGCUCACUGGCCCGAUACUGACGCUGAGGCACGAAAGCGUGGGGAGUAAACAGG